GGAGCUUGCUCCCUGAUGUUAGCGGCGGACGGGUGAGUAACACGUGGGUAACCUGCCUGUAAGACUGGGAUAACUCCGGGAAACCGGGGCUAAUACCGGAUGGUUGUUUGAACCGCAUGGUUCAAACAUAAAAGGUGGCUUCGGCUACCACUUACAGAUGGACCCGCGGCGCAUUAGCUAGUUGGUGAGGUAAUGGCUCACCAAGGCAACGAUGCGUAGCCGACCUGAGAGGGUGAUCGGCCACACUGGGACUGAGACACGGCCCAGACUCCUACGGGAGGCAGCAGUAGGGAAUCUUCCGCAAUGGACGAAAGUCUGACGGAGCAACGCCGCGUGAGUGAUGAAGGUUUUCGGAUCGUAAAGCUCUGUUGUUAGGGAAGAACAAGUACCGUUCGAAUAGGGCGGUACCUUGACGGUACCUAACCAGAAAGCCACGGCUAACUACGUGCCAGCAGCCGCGGUAAUACGUAGGUGGCAAGCGUUGUCCGGAAUUAUUGGGCGUAAAGGGCUCGCAGGCGGUUUCUUAAGUCUGAUGUGAAAGCCCCCGGCUCAACCGGGGAGGGUCAUUGGAAACUGGGGAACUUGAGUGCAGAAGAGGAGAGUGGAAUUCCACGUGUAGC
rnacentral:rRNA from 2 species